rnacentral:misc_RNA from 1 species
UAAUGUUUAACAGAAGAUGGAGGCUUUUAUACUUUAAUUUUCUAGAUCGUUUGUGGGAUAAAAUUGUGUGUAGUUUUAUGUAAAUAUUGUUAAAAGUUGUAAAAGGUCGUGGUUUCUAUUAAAAAAAAAAAAAGUGUGAAAUGGGCUAUGCAUGUCUGCAAAAGUGAGUUAGAAAACUUAGCUUUAUAUUUGUCAUGAGGGGUGGCUUUGUAUUGUUGUGCAGUUGUUUUGUAAUUUUGAAUUGUGUUUAAUAAAAAUUGAGAAGUCUUGUGAGGGCUUGGUGUGUGGUUUUAUGAUUACUAGGUAAUUCGGAUAGAUAUUUAUCUAAGAUUCUUACUUAUUUAGUUACCAAAUAGAGGGUAUAUCGAACCCAAAUCUCAUUGUACGUAUGUAUAUAUUUCAAAUUAUACCCUCUAUUUGGCUCAAGG